rnacentral:rRNA from 1 species
UACGGAGGAUGCAAGCGUUAUCCGGAAUAAUUGGGCGUAAAGCGUUCGCAGGUGGCGAAUCAAGUCUGCUGUCAAAGGUCAGGGCUCAACCCUGAACAGGCAGUGGAAACUGAUGAGCUAGAGUGCGGUAGGGGUAGAGGGAAUUCCCGGUGUAGCGGUGAAAUGCGUAGAGAUCGGGAAGAACACCAGUGGCGAAAGCGCUCUACUAGGCCGCAACUGACACUCAGGGACGAAAGCUAGGGGAGCGAAUGGGAUUAGAUACCCCAGUAGUCCUAGCCGUAAACGAUGGAUACUAGGCGUGGCUUGUAUCGACCCGAGCCGUGCCGGAGCUAACGCGUUAAGUAUCCCGCCUGGGGAGU